CAAUUACUGCCCAGAGAGCAAUGGGGCCCCCCGACAUGUGGAAGGAACCAUGAGGGCUCCCCGCAGGGUGCAAGGAUGGGCAUCACAGGAAUGGAAAAACCGAGACCCGGGGCUGAGACUUGCCUGACCACAACCCUCGAGAGGAGCAGAAUCAACCCUGGGACCCAGGCCCACCAGGCCCACCCCACACAGCCCUGUGGGCAUAUGGGCUAUGGGGGGGGGGGGGCUGGGAAGGGAGCAGGGGAAACUUGUAACCGUCAGAACAUGAUAGAAGUCCAUGAAACCCUACCAGUGAGAAUCUGUCACUCAUUUAACAAAUAGUAAUUGAGCACCUACUAUGUGCCGGGCACCCAGGUACAUGGAUGCAAUAGUGAACAAAGGCCCGGCCUUCAAGAAGCUGGCACUUCUCUCUGGUGGUGACGUCUGGAGAGGACGCACGGAAAUGGCACCUCCCCAGGGGAAGGCAGGAAGGAAGCUCGGACCUCAGUGGCCGAGGAGAAAUGUGUGCAUAUCUGCCACUUCUUUGUCCUUCAGUGACACUUCUGUCCAUGCCAGCGAUCUUUCUGGCCAGGAAACCAUCUGCGUGUGCCUGGUGGGGUGAAGGCAGGGGCUGAGCGGGGUGAGUCCUCCAUAUACUGCCAUGUCGGUGGCCAGGAGGUGGCCCGGAGGUGUGAGCUGGGCACCGCCGCCCUCCACGUCAGCCCCGGCCACGGGAACAAACGGAGCCCGGGCUCAGGAAUGAAGAUCUUACAGACUGAGGAUGUCACCCCAUCCCCCCCCCCCCCCCGACAGCACCCACAGGACGGGGGUCGCUGUGGUCGCCCUCUUGGAACAAGACUCCUCAAAUUAUUGUUUUCUGUGAAUAAAUUGCCUUUGU